UAAGCAUCACAAAAGUUCACCACUCUCUGUGCGCAAUGGCUCAAUAUUCACCAAUUCUCACACCCCUUUGGUGAAAUGGCUUGAGUUUAUGUACAGGUUUGCACAAGGUUUGCAGUUGAAGCAGCUUGCCAUGAUCAAUGACGGUAUAGCAGGAAGCUCAAAGACACUGACAAGAAUGACAAAAGUACUCAGAAAGGUGUGCAUUGCUGCCCUCAAGAGACUGAGGAUCAGAGGAAUGAGAAUUGGUGGUCAACAUCGAUUUGUUGUUAUUGAC